rnacentral:rRNA from 1 species
UACGUAGGGACCAAGCGUUGUUCGGAUUUACUGGGCGUAAAGGGCGCGUAGGCGGCGUGGUAAGUCACUUGUGAAAUCUCUGAGCUUAACUCAGAACGGCCAAGUGAUACUGCUGUGCUCGAGUGUGGAAGGGGCAAUCGGAAUUCUUGGUGUAGCGGUGAAAUGCGUAGAUAUCAAGAGGAACACCGAUUGCGAAGGCAGCUCGCUGGAACGUUACUGACGCUGAGACGCGAAAGCGUGGGGAGCAAACAGG